rnacentral:rRNA from 1 species
GACAGAGGGUGCAAACGUUGCUCGGAAUCACUGGGCGUAAAGGGCGUGUAGGCGGGAAGGAUAGUCAGAUGUGAAAGCCCUGGGCUCAACCCAGGAACUGCAUUUGAAACUCCCUUUCUUGAGUGUCGGAGAGGAAAGCGGAAUUCCUGGUGUAGAGGUGAAAUUCGUAGAUAUCAGGAGGAACACCGAUGGCGAAGGCAGGUCUCUGGGCUGACACUGACGCUCAUGCACGAAAGCGUGGGGAGCAAACAGG